UAUUAAAAAAUUUAUCUAUUUCUAUUGUUAAAAAUUAGCUUAACUGACAAAAUAACCAGACAGUUACACGUGGCGUGCUACAUAUACCUCAUGUUAACGUACAUGGGCUAGUUUUAACGGUAGAAAUUGAUGAAGUUUUUAACA
rfam:Gossypium hirsutum cultivar TM-1 unplaced genomic scaffold scaffold56.1, whole genome shotgun sequence